rnacentral:rRNA from 1 species
CCCUUAGAGUUUGAUCCUGGCUCAGAAUCAACGCUGGCGGCGUGCCUAACACAUGCAAGUCGAACGCGAAAGUGGAGCAAUCCAUGAGUAGAGUGGCAAACGGGUGAGUAACACGUGGGUGACCUGCCUUCGAGCGGGGGAUAACGUCCCGAAAGGGACGCUAAUACCGCAUAACAUCCUGCCUUUUAAGAGGUGGAGAUCAAAGCCGGGGAUCGCAAGACCUGGCACUUGAAGAGGGGCCCGCGCCUGAUUAGCUAGUUGGCGAGGUAAUGGCUCACCAAGGCAACGAUCAGUAUCCGGCCUGAGAGGGCGGACGGACACACUGGGACUGAGACACGGCCCAGACUCCUACGGGAGGCAGCAGUGGGGAAUUGUUCGCAAUGGGCGCAAGCCUGACGACGCAACGCCGCGUGGAGGAUGAAGACCUUCGGGUCGUAAACUCCUUUCGAUCGAGACGAAUGUUUUUCGGGUGAACAAUCCGGAAAAGUGACGGUACCGAGAGAAGAAGCCCCGGCUAACUCUGUGCCAGCAGCCGCGGUAAUACAGGGGGGGCAAGCGUUGUUCGGAAUUACUGGGCGUAAAGGGCUCGUAGGUGGCCAACUAAGUCAGACGUGAAAUCCCUCAGCUUAACUGGGGAACUGCGUCUGAUACUGGAUGGCUUGAGUUUGGGAGAGGGAUGCGGAAUUCCAGGUGUAGCGGUGAAAUGCGUAGAUAUCUGGAGGAACACCGGUGGCGAAGCGGCAUCCUGGACCAACACUGACACUGAGAGCGAAAGCCAGGGGAGCAACGGGAUAGAUACCCCGGUAGUCUGGCCUAAACGAUGAAUGCUUGGUGUGCGGGUAUCGAUCCUGCCGUGCCGAGCUACGCAUAAGCAUCCGGCUGGGGAG